CGCUUAAACACCGGUCACCUUACGAUCACCGAAUUUAAGCAAUGUCGAGCCUGGUCAGUACCGAGAUCAGUGACCGCUUGAGAAUAGCAGGAACUGUAA